AUGCUUGAUCUUGUAGUUUUUGCAGUGAGCUCAAGGAUGCUAGCUAGCAGCAGGCAAGGAGGCAUGGAUCCCCAACCAACCAACCAACCAAACCCACUGCACCACAUGCAUGCAAGUGGACCAUAUCCAUCCUUUUCUUCUUUAUGUAGGUAUAUGUAUGCCAGGUCAUGCAUGAUGCCUAGAUCCAUCCACCUAUGUAUUAAUGUAUCUAUCUAUGUAUGGUCGUGUAUUGGUUUGACUUCAACUAUACUUAAAAGGUCUACUGAAUCUGGUCAUCUGCCAUGUAUCAUCACGUCAGAGAGUGACAAGAGGCAAAGACAAAUUUGCUCCUUCUCUAUCAUUCUUGUCAUGGUCAUUAGUUAG
rnacentral:rRNA from 1 species